rnacentral:rRNA from 1 species
UAUUUAUUAGAUAACAGACCAAUAUUCCUCGUGUCUAUUGUGGUGACUCAUAGUAACUGAUCGGAUCGCAUGGCCUUGUGCCGCGACUAACCAUUCAAGUUUCUGACCCAUCAGCUUUCGAUGGUAGUGUAUUGGACUACCAUGGCUUACACGGGUAACGGAGGAUUAGGGUUCGAUUCCGGAGAGGGAGCCUGAGAAACGGCUACCACAUCUAAGGAAGGCAGCAGGCGCGUAAAUUACCCAAUCCUGACUCAGGGAGGUAGUGACAAGAAAUAACGGGUCGGGGCAUUCGCCUCGGGAUUGCAAUGAAUCGAAUUUACACCCCUUAAUGAGGAUCAAUUGGAGGGCAAGUCUGGUGCCAGCAGCCGCGGUAAUUCCAGCUCCAAUAGCGUAUAUUAAAGUUGUUGCAGUUAAAAAGCUCGUAGUUUGAUUUCUGGACGGGCGCCAACACCCGCUUGUUUAGUGUGGAGGCGGCGCCCGCCCAUCCUUCUGUUAACGCCACCGGCAUUCAUUUGCUGGCGGCGGGCUCAGAUAUUUUACCUUGAGAAAAUUAGAGUGUUUCAGGCAGGCUUGCGC